GAUGAAGAACGCAGCGAAAUGCGAUACGUAAUGUGAAUUGCAGAAUUCAGUGAAUCAUCGAGUCUUUGAACGCACAUUGCGCCCCCUGGUAUUCCGGGGGGCAUGCCUGUCCGAGCGUCAUUGCUGCCCUCAAGCCCGGCUUGUGUGUUGGGUCUCGUCCCCCUUCCCGGGGGGGCGGGCCCGAAAGGCAGCGGCGGCACCGCGUCCGGUCCUCGAGCGUAUGGGGCUUUGUCACCCGCUCUGUAGGCCCGGCCGGCGCUUGCCGAUCAACCAAAACUUUUUUCCAGGUUGACCUCGGAUCAGGUAGGGAUACCCGCUGAACUUAAGCAUAUCAAUAAGCGGAGGA
rnacentral:misc_RNA from 1 species